CGCGUGAGUGAUGAAGGCCUUAGGGUCGUAAAGCUCUUUCGCCUGUGAUGAUAAUGACAGUAGCAGGUAAAGAAACCCCGGCUAACUCCGUGCCAGCAGCCGCGGUAAUACGGAGGGGGUUAGCGUUGUUCGGAAUUACUGGGCGUAAAGCGCGCGUAGGCGGAUUAGUCAGUUAGAGGUGAAAUCCCAGGGCUCAACCCUGGAACUGCCUUUAAUACUGCUAGUCUUGAGUUCGAGAGAGGUGAGUGGAAUUCCGAGUGUAGAGGUGAAAUUCGUAGAUAUUCGGAGGAACACCAGUGGCGAAGGCGGCUCACUGGCUCGAUACUGACGCUGAGGUGCGAAAGUGUGGGGAGCAAACAGGAUUAGAUACCCUGGUAGUCCACACCGUAAACGAUGAAUGCCAGUCGUCGGCAAGCAUGCUUGUCGGUGACACACCUAACGGAUUAAGCAUUCCGCCUGGGGAGUACGGUCGCAAGAUUAAAACUCAAUA
rnacentral:rRNA from 1 species